UCAGACGAUGCGUCAUGCAUAUCAAUAAGCGGAGGAAAAGAAACUAACAAGGAUUCCCUUAGUAACGGCGAGUGAAGCAGGGAAGAGCUCAAAUUUGAAAUCUUCAAGGUUUUACCUUGACGAAUUGUAGUUUAAAGAAGUGUUUUCUGCUGAAGUUUUGGUAAAAGUUCUUUGGAAUAGGACAUCAUAGAGGGUGAGAAUCCCGUAUUUGACCAUUAUUUUCAGCUGUGUGAUACACUUUCAAAGAGUCGGAUUGUUUGGGAAUGCAGUCCAAAAUGGGUGGUAAAUUUCAUCUAAAGCUAAAUAUUGGCGAGAGACCGAUAGCGAACAAGUACCGUGAGGGAAAGAUGAAAAGAACUUUGAAAAGAGAGUUAAACAGUACGUGAAAUUGUCAAAAGGGAAGCGUUUGACACCAGUGUUGUUUUCUCGAAAAUCAAUUAAAAAGUGUUUGAUUUUGUUGUGUAUUGACCUUAACAGCUUGCAUUUCAAUUUUCUUGCUUUUUUUAAUGCACUUUUCGUUUAACAAGUCAACAUCAGUUUCUUUUGUUGUAAAAAGGUCAUUGGAAGGUGGCUUUCUUUUCGGAGAAAGUGUUUAUAGCCUUUGACUCCUGCAAUCGGAGAGACUGAGGUCUGCAGCGUAGAUCCUUCGGGGUUAGAUACAUUUGUGCUAAGUUAUAGCUUUUUAUAGACAACUUGUUGACUAUGAUUAGUCUUGUAGCUUACUCGCUUAUGCUAUUUUACCUACGCUUAGGAUGUUGAUCUGUAGUGCGUGCGC
rnacentral:rRNA from 1 species